GAGUUUUUAAAUUUUGGUAUGCUAGAGAAUUUCCCCUAGUCCUGUCACUCGUCUUUAAAUUAGAUUGCAUAGUGAUUAGAGAUGUCAUCUGUAUUAUUAUUUUUUUAAGACAGAGCCUCACUUCAUUGCCCAGGCUGGAGUGCCGUGGUGUGAUCUCAGCUCACUGCUACCUCUGCCUUCCAGGUUCAAGUGAUUCUCCUGCCUCAGCCUCCCGAGUAGCCUGGGAUUACAGGCGGCCACCACCAUGCCCAGCUAAUUUUUGUAUUUUUAGUAGAGAUGGGGUUUCGCUAUGUUGCCCAGGCUGGUCUCAAACUCCUUACCUCAAGUGAUCCAACCGCCUCGGCCUCCCAAAGUUCUGGGAUUACAGGUCUGAGCCACCAUGCCCGACCAAGAAGUCAUCUAUAUUAGAUCUACUCUUUGGAAUCACUGAGGUUUUGUGUCCUUUCAUGUGACAUGGCUGUGAGCAUGACAGGUGUCAGUGAGCUCUGUGUGCCUCAUCAACGAAUCAUCCAACCUGAAGGUGGUUGUGGGAAACUCUUGGACCUGCAGUCAGUAUCAGAAGGCCUGGGCAGACUUGGCCAGCCACCUGGAGCACUGUGCCCUUAAACUCAGGUUUGCCUAACAUCAGAUACUAUGUAAAAACCAGUGAAAUUGAAAUAGG
rnacentral:lncRNA from 1 species